CCUACGGGUGGCAGCAGUGGGGAAUAUUGCGCAAUGGGCGAAAGCCUGACGCAGCGACGCCGCGUGUGGGAUGAAGGUCUUCGGAUCGUAAACCUCUGUCAGCAGGGAGGAACGGUCACUGUGCUAAUCAGCAGUGAAUUGACGGUACCUGCAAAGGAAGCACCGGCUAACUCCGUGCCAGCAGCCGCGGUAAUACGGAGGGUGCGAGCGUUAAUCGGAAUUACUGGGCGUAAAGCGCUCGUAGGCGGUAUGUCAAGUCAAGGGUGAAAUCCCCGCGCUCAACGUGGGAACUGCCUUUGAAACUGGCAAGCUGGAGUGUGGGAGAGGAUAGUAGAAUUCCAGGUGUAGGAGUGAAAUCCGUAGAGAUCUGGAGGAACAUCAGUGGCGAAGGCGACUAUCUGGCACAUAACUGACGCUGAGGUGCGAAAGCGUGGGUAGCAAACAGGAUUAGAUACCCCGGUAGUC
rnacentral:rRNA from 1 species